rnacentral:rRNA from 1 species
AUGAGCCAGUUCGUGCCAGAUUGGGGGAACAUGGGGGACAUCUCCAGGCCACUCGGCGAAGACGAUGACCUCAUGGAGCUGCUGUGGUGCAACGGCAAUGUCGUCAUGCAGAGCCAGGGUCAUCGGAAGCUGCCGCCGAGGCCUGAGAAGGUCCCGGCGCCGCCGGUGGUGCAAGAAGACGAUGCCGGCCUCUGGUUCCCGUUCGCGCUCGCCGACUCGCUCGACAAGGACAUCUUCCAGGACCUUUUCUGCGAGGAACCACCGGGGGCGGCCGGCGUCGACGGCGCCGGCAAGAUCGGCAGGGACGGUGUACCAGUAUUAGGGGAUGACAGGCGCAGCAGCCAGUCGUCCGCGGUGUCGGCGGCGAGCGACCUGAUGCCCCCUCCCAAGUCCACGCACGUCUCCUGCUCCAGCAGGCAGCAAUCGAUGAGCCUGGCCGACUGCGGCGACAACGCCGGCGGCGUCCUGUCGGACCUCGUCCAGGCUCGCGCCGGGAAGGCGGCGAUGGAGGAGGGCGCGUCGUCGACGCUGAGCGCGAUGGGGGCGAGCUUCUGCGGGAGCAACCAGGUGCAGGUGCAGGGCGCGGUGAGCGAGCAGGGGCGCGCCGGCCACACCACUGCCUAUGGCGGCGGCGGAGCGGGCAGCGCUCUGCCUUCGGCGGUAGGGAGCGGAAAUGCAAACGCCAGAGGCAGGGGCCACGAGGCCACCGUGGCCUCCUCGUCGGGCCGGUCCAACUACAGCUUCGGCGUGACCACCACCACUGGCACCGAGCCGACGAGCACGAGCCACCGGAGCAGCAAGCGCAAGCGGGGGCUGGACACGGAGGACUCGGAGAGCCCCAGCGAGGACGCCGAGUCGGAGUCGUUGGCGCUUGAGCGCAAGCCGCCGCAGAAGCUCACGACGGCGAGGAGGAGCCGCGCCGCCGAGGUGCACAACCUCUCCGAGAGGAGGAGACGAGACAGGAUCAACGAGAAGAUGCGAGCGCUGCAAGAGCUCAUACCCCACUGCAACAAGACUGACAAGGCGUCGAUGCUGGACGAGGCGAUCGAGUACCUGAAGACGCUGCAGAUGCAGGUGCAGAUGAUGUGGAUGGGCGGCGGUAUGGCGCCGCCGGCGGUGAUGUUCCCGGGCAUGCAGAUGCACCAGUACCUGCCGCAGAUGGGGCCGCCGUCCAUGGCGCGGAUGCCCUUCAUGGCGCCGCCGCAGCAGGGCCACGGCGUGAGCCUGCCGGAGCAGUACGCGCACUUCCUCGGCGUCAACCCCCACCACCUGCAGCCGCCCUCCCACCACCCCCACCACCACCAGCAUUUCGCGCAGGGGGUGGGCUACUACCCGCUAGGGGCGAAGGCCCUGCAGCAGAGUCCGGCGCUCCACCACGUGCCCAAUGGCAACACUGGCGCCGGCGCGCCUGCCGCUACCGCCAACACCGCGCCGGGGAACGCGAUACACCCAAACAAAAGAUGA